ensembl:lncRNA
ACAAACUCCUCCUUCCCGGUGACAGGCGGCAACACCGAAGGGGUCGCCUCGCCUUCUCCAACGCAAUUUUGCGCCCUGGACUUAUUGUCGGUUGCCGUCGAGGUGGUGGUCAGCAUCCCCUGGAGGUGAAGCGCUGUGACCCGUAACUCACCGCCGCCUGGAGCCACACGGAUCGUCUGGACUUCACUCCCCCACCUCCAGCUUCUGUCCAACCGCCCUCUGAAGACGUCGACAAUGUGACAGCUGGACCCUUUCAGAAGCAUGUGACCUGCCGUUAUUAUGGAUCGGAAAAUCAGCAUACAUUGAAUCUACACUCAUCCAGGAGGAGGAAAGGAAACUGUCCUUCUCCUCAGAGAUGCUGAAGGGGUCGGGCUGGAGACGGACUGCAAAGACAAGCUGGGAAAAGCUGGAGAGCAGUGGGUGAAACAGCCUUUGGUCGCCGAGGGACAUGCGGGGUGACAUCUCCAGAGGUGACUGAGGCAGGAAAAAAGGAAGCCGGGAGCAAAAGGAGGCUUACGAGGAGCAGCAGCACUUUACCACAAGACACAGCCAUAGGCCUCGCUGUGAGCAGCCUCCUGGCUGCCCUACACACGACGAACUAACAGAGCCGACAUACAUAAAAUUCCCUGCAGCUUUUCUAGUGGAAAGUCCCAAACGGUACCGUGAGUGAAUUUCCACAUCGCAAAACCUCAAACCUUAUACACAGAGGUCCGGCCCCAUGGAUUCACACACUGUGUACACACUAACUCAGCGCAAAAACCUCCCCCUCAUCUCGGCUUGUGACAUUUGCAGACGGGGACUUAAAGAGGGAGGAAAGCAGGGUAGCACGCCGCUCCUCUCCUCUCCUCUCUCUCUCUCAUUAGAAUUCUCUCAUCCGUCUUCCCGUGGAACGGAGGGACACGUCGGGGUUUAUUAAUCGCUCCAGGAGAUAUUAUUGACCCGGACCUUCUGCUCCCGCUCUCCCUGCUGCAUUCAGCGUCUCCCCUCUGCUGCCUCCACAUUCCGCCAGUGUCCUGUCUGGACACAUUACAGGACACUGCGGCACAGCGUGGAGGCUUCAACACACAGUGUCUUCAUUGACUAUGCACUUGGCCUGGGCUUUCUUUCCACCGCAGCUGCAAAGCAACACACACAAACACUCCUGCAGCCUUGGGGAGACAAAACCCACGCCGCCGUGCUUCAUUAUAGGGUGAUAGCAGCUCUGUGCUCACGCGCAUUGCUUGGAUUCCAACUUUUGUGGGGGGAAAAACACACCUUGAGAAAAAUCUCAAUGCUUAUUGGUUUUCAAACCUUACCAGCAGAUUUCAAAAGAAAAGAGGUGCGUGAAUCAAUGUGAUGUGAAACCCAUUCUGAAUGCUGAAUCGAUCCGAGAUGCUCCUUUGUCCUUCUUUAUCCUAAAGGGAGAAAAUGAAGGAAUGAUUGGAGUCGUUCAGCUGAGACUCCUGUCACUGUGUCUAUGGGCUCUGGACGGCGCUUGUGGGUGUUGGCGUGUGUAUGUGUGUUUGUGUUGGGGGGAGGUUAUCAAAUAGGAGGGGAGGUGGCAAGGAGUGGAGUGUGAGGGUGUAGGUGUUAAGCCUCUUCCAGCCCAGAUGCCCCUUAGAUUUUGCAGAGGCUUCUUGUUGACAUGCUUUUAGGGUGUGUGUGUGUGUGUGCUUUGAUUUCAAGCACACUUAAAUCCUGAAAAUGACAUAUUUCAUCCUGGCAUUGCCUUGUAAACAGCUGAAGGUUGUUUUCAGGUCAUUAACUAAUCAUGGUGGCAUUCACUGAAGGUUUCUUUGAUCAAUACUGCACUGAUUAAAACAUGAGCAAAUACCUCAUUGCACUGAAUUAGGGAAACAUGGGCUAUUGGUAAUAACGACAUGUAUGCUCUUGUUGUUUCUUUAAUAUCAGUAUGAAUUAGCAAUGUAAAAAAAAUAGAGUUUAGCCUUGAUGUUAUCUUCGUACGUUUUCUUCUCAAUGGGUCUUAAGGGCGUUAUCGCGGGCGCCUUGUUGUUCAAGUAUUGGAGUGUUGUGCCUCCAUGUGGACGUGUUUGUCAUUACACCGUGAGCUUAUGAAUGGCCAGGAUGUGUGAGCGUGUUGUUCCAUUGUGUCUCCAUGAACUUUGCACCGAUGAGCACAUUCCUGAAAGCAACAGU